rnacentral:rRNA from 1 species
UACGUAGGAGACGAGCGUUGUCCGGAGUUACUGGGCGUAAAGGGUGCGCAGGCGGCCUCGCGCGUCGCGAGUGAAAUCUCCCGGCUCAACUGGGAGGGUGGUCGCGAGACGGCGGGGCUUGAGGCGUGGAGAGGGGCGUGGAAUUCCGGGUGGAGCGGUGAAAUGCGUAGAGAUCCGGAGGAACACCGACGGCGAAGGCAGCGCCCUGGACACGACCUGACGCUCAGGCACGGAAAGCGCGGGGAGCGAACGAG